rnacentral:lncRNA from 1 species
UCGCAGAGAUGUUUUGGCUAAACAGCAGACAUACACAAACUAACAGGGAUAAAAGCACUCAUAUGAAAGGUUUAACGAAACAUCACAUAUUUCUAUUUAAGAUCUAUAUUCCAUGGCUUACUUUUGAAUUACAACACAAGCAUACAACAUCAAGCACAAUAAAACAUUCAUUCCCUAACAUUUGACCUAAACCACACAUCAAAGACUUUCACUCAAGAUCACAACAUAAACUUAUAGGUUUUGACUUAGGGUUUCAAACGAAACUGAUUUUACAUUUUUAUGAACUUCCUAUGAAAAUCUAUGAAAUGUAGAAGUUCAUCGAUUUGAAAUAAAGAAAGUUCUGGAAAUUUUACAGAAAACAUCCUAGAACUAUCUAAAACGUAGCAAUCAAGUCCCUGGUCCGGGAAAACAGAUAACAGAAAGUUAACGACGAUAUCUCGACAAAGGAAUCGCCGGCAUUAGAAAGAUUUAGUGGAUUAGGGCAAACCUUGGGGUAGACUUAGUCGUGGAGA